AACGAACGCUGGCGGCAUGCCUAACACAUGCAAGUCGAACGAGCCCUUCGGGUCUAGUGGCGCACGGGUGCGUAACGCGUGGGAACCUGCCCUUAGGUUCGGACUAACUCCCCGACAGGGGUGCUAAUACCGGAUAAUGUCUUCUGACCAAAGAUUUAUCGCCCUUGGAUGUGACCGCGUUGGAUUAGCUCGUUAGUAGGGUAAAAGCCUACCAAGGCGACGAUCCAAAGCUGGUCAGAGAGGAUGAUCAGCUACACUGGGACUAAGACGCGGCCCGGACUCAUGCGCGAAGUAGCAGUGGGGGAUGUUGGAAAAUGGACGGAAGGCUGAGCAACCAAUGCCGCGUGAGCUAUGAUGGCAGUAGUGUAGUAAAGCCCUAUUACCCGAGAAGAUAAUGACAGUACCGGAUGAAUAAGCUCCGGCUAACUCCGUG
rnacentral:rRNA from 1 species